rnacentral:misc_RNA from 1 species
GUUUCUUAAAAACUCCCAUCUACUCAGCAGUAAAUUAGUUAAGAAUAUUUACUAUAUAUUAAUCUCCCUAUCCCCAAAAUUACAGAGUAAUUAUCAAGUAACAACCUGUGGCUGCACUUGAGAGGGGAGUGUUAGGAAUGUUAUCCCACAUUGAAAAAAUAUAAGAUUAAAAUGGUAAAUAUAAAUGGUUGGAUUACAAUAAUGAAGCUAGUCAUUUUGAUGUAUAACGCAACUCAAUCAUUUAUAUAACUUGUUUGUCUUAAUAAUUAAUUAAAAUGUAAUUUGACCAACAUUCUCUUUAAAUUUAACAUUGAACUAGACAAAUAAAUCUAAUCAAUUAAAAAAAAUGUCGUGUCAAAUUCAAAUUUCCCAUAUGUCAAAUCCUUCAAUCCACAUGCAAGGCAAUAAAACUUUCUAUUCUCAAUCUCAUAUUUUCAGAGUGCACUAAUGAUUUGAUUUGGUUCCUCCUACUUUACAUUUGAAUUAAAUUUUCAAAGGGACUCUCAUUGUUUUAUACUGAUGCAAAUCUUUAGGACUACAUUCUGUUUCUCUUAUCAACGCGUAGCAAGGAAAUUUUAUAUGAGGAAGACUAUUGUUAGCAGCAUCAAAUAACCAAAAAAUAGCACACCUUCUAUAUCUCCUAAUAUUUUCACGAUUUUCUAUGAAAAAAUAAAUACAUUGGCUGAUGAGCCUUGACUGUUAAACCUCAGUGAAUCAAAUUGACAAUAGGAAUUUUCCCCAUUGAAAUCAGUAGGAAUUUAGACUUAAAAUCAGAUAGAUAAAUGAAGGGAGUUUGAAUUCCAAAAUGCAAGUCAAAAAUGAAAGCAUCAUCCAAGUUGACAAGCAAUUGGAUCCAACCACGGGAAUCUUUUUUUUUUUUUUGGCCACAUUAUCCCAAAAUGCUUAUUAUUUUAGAAUUAGCAAAAGAAAUCCUUUCUCCAUAUUAUGCCAUCUAAUAUUUCAACUUCCACAAGAUCAUAACAGAAUAAUAUUUCAACUUCCACGAGAUCAUAACAGUAUCUUUCAUUGUUUUUACUUACCAUGAACAUUACAUUAUUUUAACUUAUUGCAGCACUAUUGAGCAUUAAGGAAACAAAAUCACAUAAAUAAAAGAAGCGAAAGAUAAGCAUGAGCUUUCCCUGAUUCCAGCAGAAAGCAAUCACCAAUACUCUACUUACACCAUACAGAAAAGUUUAAUAUGUGUGUGUGUGUGUG